rnacentral:rRNA from 1 species
UACGGGGGGGGCAAGCGUUGUUCGGAAUUACUGGGCGUAAAGGGCUCGUAGGUUGCCAACUAAGUCAGACGUGAAAUCCCUCGGCUUAACCGGGGAACUGCGUCUGAUACUGGAUGGCUUGAGUUCGGGAGAGGGAUGCGGAAUUCCAGGUGUAGCGGCGAAAUGCGUAGAUAUCUGGAGGAACACCGGUGGCGAAGGCGGCAUCCUGGACCGACACUGACACUGAGGAGCGAAAGCCAGGGGAGCAAACGGG